rnacentral:lncRNA from 1 species
CCUGCCUGGCCGCCCCGCGCGGGGUCCUGAGGCGCCUCGGGGAAACUCUGCGAUUGGUUGCAGCUUGUGGCUGGAGUUCGGCUCCAGCAGCGCUUGACAACCGCAGUCUGCCAAAGACUGAACUGGGCGGUCGCCGGCCCGGGAGGGGCGGAGGCGAGAAGGACGGGCUGACGAACUGAUGGACUGACGCGCGGGUGGCUGGAGGGAGGACCGACGCCAACCCCUUACCGCCGCCCUUGCGCUCCUUCCCCAGCCCGGAGCCGGCAGCUUCGGGCCCCAGCCGUCGGCCUCGCAGCUGCGUUCCCUUCGCCACUUCUGCGGGCUCAUCUCGGAGCCCUCAGGUGAGAGACUACGGGAGGCGGGGGCGGGCCGCUGCACACCUCUGUUGCCAUGGUCACCCGUCGCCACCUGUCACCCGCUGACUGGGCUCUGACCCCUCAGCCCAGAGAGUAGCUUUCGAGGCCCAUGAGAAGGGGCUUUGGGUAGGUUUGGGUGGUGCUUGGGUGGAGACGGAUCGUGGGUGAGCCCCGGCGCUGCAGGAUGGGGACCUGGGAACUGCCAGGCCUCCAUUCGAGGCCGCCGCUCCUGGACCACACCUUUCCCACUUUGCCAGCGCGGUUCUAGGGGCAGAGCGACGCCCCCCGCGCUGGAACGAGCAGCUAGCGACCGCAGCGUUCUUGGCCACCACGCUGCUGCUGAGGGGCGGGAAGCAGACAGACUGCGCUGCUGCUUCCUUCCUCGCCGCUCUGCGGAGCGGGUGCCAGAACUGAGGGGAGCGCUCGCGUCCCUUUCUGGGCACGCCUUGGCCUGGAGGCGGAGAGGGAGCGGCGGUACUGGGGGCCGGGCGGGUGCCUGGGGCAGCCGAGCGGGGCCGGGUUUGGUCUUUCUGACGUCAGUGGUCAGUAAGAGUAGGCUUUGGGGUGUCUCAGAGUGGUGCAGAGACUGGAUUUGGAACGGGGGGUUGUACUCAGGGCGCCUGCGUAGAAGAAAGGGGAGGUUGUAGAAUAGAAUUCAUAGGGUUAAGCCUUCCCUGUAUUGGGGAGAAAAAGAUGGGGGCUCUAGCUCUGGGGCGAGGCCUUUAAUAAAAGGGGCGGGGGCGAAGGUAGGUAGAGCUUUUGACCAGAUGUUGUUUUUUUUUUUUUUCUUUUCUAUACCCAGACGUGCUGUUGGUAACCACGCACGGUUUCUGAGAGGAGCUUUUUUGGCAACUUGGUUCUCUUUGCAUAAUGAAAGGAGAAGUCUUUGUUCCACCCAGAUUCAUAGGCUGUGAUCCUCACUUAUUUUCUUUCCUUUGUUGUAAAGUUCAUAGAAUGCUUAAAAAGUUAGUGCCGCAGAAAUUAACAUGUAGGUUUUAAAAAUGUUAUAAAUCUUUUUUUCACGGCAAAUCUAGUUAGAAUAUUUUUUUUUAAAUUUUUUGUCUCUAGUGUUGGCAAGUGUUGCAUUGACAUUUUACUAGGCAGGAAAACCGCCCCAAAGCCCAUUUUCCCUUUAUAUGGCACAUUCUCUAGGUCUAUUUAGGAAGAAGAUGUUACAAAUUAUUUUAUCAUAGUUUUUUGGAGGAUGUAGAUUGUUUCCAGCAGGAAAGAAAUUAAUGUACAAUUAUGGGAAAGACAGGAAGAAAGCCAUAACAGUAUAUUAAGGUAAAAAACCAAAAAAUAAACAUUUGAAUUUGGAUGUCUAUUAUUAUUAUGAGGGGAUUUUUAACCUGUGUUUAUUUCCCACCUUUUUACCUCCCUGUUUUCUUAUAAUAAAAAGGAGUAGUAGGGGACUGGGAUACAGAGCAUUUGCCCAGCAUUGAUGGGGCCCUGGGUUCAAACCCAAGAACCAGGACAAAACAAACAAAAACCAGUACUAGGAAUGUAUCAAAAGAGACAAGAAUAGUAUCCUGUAUUUCUAAUUAUAUAAUUAUGUUUAGUCUCUUUUUGGGUUUUUGAAAUUGAAUUUAUCAAUUACUGGAUGGAUACCAUUGAUAGGUUUUAUGCUGCAGUUUGAAAAACACUUCAAGAUAAAUGAAAAAUAUGUGCAGUUUUCUUUAGAUCAGUAAGCUGGAAAUCAGGUUGCUGUAUUUAAAAUUCUCUUUACUGCUGAUUAUAAUCUUGGAAGAGCUAUUUACUGGACUAUUGACUCUGGUUUCUUGUUCUAUAAAAUGGUAUAAUACUUAUUAUUGUUUUAGUCAGUGAAUGGGCUCUAAAGUUGAAUAACAAUGCAUUAGAAAACACUUUGGACAAAUUUUAAGGCAUCUGUUGAUUAAUUCCCUGUCCCCUGUAGUAUUGGAGUUUGAACCCAAGACUCUUGUACUGGGCUACAUCCUUAGCCCAUUUUUAAAUUUUGAGACAGUGUCAUGCUAAAUUGCCUAGGCUUCCUUGAAUUUACAAUCCUCCUAUUUCAGCCUCCCGAGUAACUGGGAUUACAGGUGUUCCUCACCCUGCACCAGGCUUGUUGAUUACCUUUUAAUAGAAGGAGCAUUGGCAAGAAUAAUAAAAAAAAUUUCUGCAUGAUCUAUUUGACAUGUCUAAGUCUAGGGCCCGAUUUUUUACAGUGACUUUAAAGGGCUCACAGGAACUGUUGAGGUGCAUCCUAAACAUUUGGCAGAGGUUCUUUAUUUUUGUGGUGAUGUGGAGCAAAGGGUGUUUCUAAAUGUAGGUCAAAAUUGCUUUCUUGCAAAUAAAGCUGUAAUCAAUAGUUGACCUAAUUUAUAUUUGGUGCUGAAUAAUCCUGAAUGUGGAUCAUUGGUUCUUGACUAAUGAAGAAAUAACUUUAUCCUGUUGACCUGUGGUUUUCAAACUGGAGUAUUUGGACCAUUAGAAACAUGCAACAUUGUGCUAAGAGAUAAACCUUUGUUCACAUAACAUAGCACACAUUUAUGGAAUUAUCAGUUUCACUUGAAGACUUGGGUAAAAAUAUUAUUUUUGUUUUAAAGCAAAAAGAUCAUAUGGAGAAAGCAAUAUUCCAUUAAUCUAAGGUAAAAUUCCGAGACUUCAAAAGCAAUUUCAUGCUAAGAACUCCCUGGGGAUGUGUUUAGUUUCUUCUCUCCUCAAAGGAAAGUCUAAGAAACUUUACCUUGGACUAAUUCAGCUAAUGAAUGGCAUAUCAUUACAUAGCACAAGAAAUAAACUGAAUUGCAAUUUUAAAACUUUGGCUGAUAUUAGGUUCAACAUCACUUGAGUCCUAAUCAUGUCCCCUCCCCUUUUUUAAUCCCUGUUAAAGUCAGAGUGCUAUAGUAGAGAGGUCAUAGGAUUUCAGUCAGAUACAUUCUGUCAUCCCGUUCUUGGCUCUGCAUUUAAUUGCCUCAGAGGCAAAUACCUAACAUCUCUAAGUGUUAGUGUAAUCAUCCAUAAAAUGACAAUCAUAGAGUCAUAAGAAUUACAUAGAUACUAUCUGAAAGUUUUUAGCACAAGGUCUGGCAUGUGGUAUGUAUCUCUGUAUAUUAGGAUACUAAUAAUCCUUUAAACUCAUUCUUAGCAGGAAAUCUUGUUACCCCCCUAACUUUCUUUCUUCUUAGUUUUAUUUUUUUAAAUACACAAUAGCGGAAUGCAUUACAAUUCUUAUUACACAUAUAGAGUACAAUUUUUCAUAUCUUUGUAUAUAGAGUAUGUUCACACCAGUUCAUGCCUUUUCUUUUUUUGCAUAACAAUUCUUAUUACACAUAUAUACCACAAUUUUUCAUAUCUCUUUAUAUAUAAAGUAUGUUGACACCCAAUUUGAGUCUUCAUACAUGUACUUUGGAUAAUGAUGUCCAUCAUAUUCCACUGACCCCCUAACUUUCAAUGGCAUUUUAUAUGUAAUUCUCUUUUGUUAAUCUGUACUUUAUAUUUUAUGUACAUUAUUUUCAUAUGCAAGACUCAAACCCAGGUCUUCAGACUCUAAGUCCCCUGCUGGCCCACAUCCAAGGAUAUUUCACUUUUGAGACCACCACAUUAAAUGGUUAACUCUUACAUAUUUUAACUAUUUUUUUCCUUUUGAAUUUCUAUUCAAGGAUAAAGAUAUCCUUAUAAAAUACUUCACACCUUCCUUAUAACCUUCUUUUGUGACUUCUUGUUUAGCAUAGUAGCUUAAACAUUGUACUUGGUAACUGUAGGUGUGUUCAUAGGUGUGUUGAAACUAAGAAAUACUCAAAUAUUUUUAAAAUGGAUACUAACUUUAAACAAGUAUUACCACAAGUAGGAGUUUCUUCAUGCCAUCUGUUUAAUCUUUAAAUUUCCUCUUUACCUAUCAUUUUUAACAUAAUUGGUCUAAUUGAUCUUCCCAAUGUUUAAAAAAUCACACCUAAAAUAUUUUUAAAAACAAGUCAACUUAUUCCAAAGUAAAUUUUUAUAUUUGCUAUCCAGAGCACAGUAGCUCUCCCAUAGCAUUCAUUAGUAGUCCUUUUGACACAUCGUCCAACUUAGUCAAGCCUAUGAGUUUUGAAGGGAAGAAAUUUAAAUUUAUUGAACACUAAUCACGUUCUCACUACUCUACUAGGAGAUUUAUCUCAUUUUACAAAUCACUAUUCUACUUUAUUUUUUUUUAAAAAUAUUUAUUUAUUUUUUUAGUUAUCGGCAGACACAACAUCUUUGGUGGUAUGUGGUGCUGAGGAUGGAACCCGGGCCGCACGCAUGCCAGACGAGCGCACUACCACUUGAGCCACAUCCCCAGCCCUAUUCUACUUUAUAUAGAGAGAGUACUACAUGAAAAAAGGACAUAAUUUUUACACUGUUUAUACUUGACUCAUUUAAUUAAAAAUGUGUCUUUUUAUGGCUAAGUACAAUGUUUUAUGAUUCUUGUUAUUUGUUGAUAAAGAAAGUGCAACCUGACUAAAAUCUUUGAGAAAGUUUUAUAGAACGAAUAGUUACAGCCUAAAUGUCCAUUUUUGGCUUAACAUUUUUAAUGGUAUUUUGAAAACUUAAAAACAGAAUUAGAUUGCUUUUUUUUUCCCCAACUUUAAGGGAAGCUUUGGAAAUGAAAUUCUGGAAAAUGCAAAACCACAAAUUUUCACUAGUAAAUGAUGAUAUAAAACAACUGUAGGUGUGUUCAUAGUAAAUGUCCACAUUAUGAGAAGUGUUAGUUUCAGUCUAUUAUAGUUGUUGAUCAGAUCAGCCACACUUGAGUAUUGUGUUCUAUUUUAGGUGCUUGAAGAGGGAGAUUUACAAAUAUACCGUGGAGGAUGUUCAGUAUGGUAUGGGAUGUGGAAACUAUGUUUUGUGAAGGCUGGUGUUUGAAAGGAUCCAUUAAACAACAUUAGAUAUGAGAAUAGUGCCCAGUGUUUUUGCAUUGUAAGCAUAGUAAUUAAUCUUGUUUUUGGAUUCUCUUCUAGUUGGUACUUUGAUAUAAAAUAGGAACUUUGAGAUGUAAUUCUAAAAUUUCUUUUUUAUUUUAUUUUAUUUUUUGCUUAUUUAAGUUCCCUAUAAAUAGAAUUGGAAUUUGUGAGUCAAAGUUUUUUUUUUUAAUUUUUUUUUUUUUUUAGUUGUAGUUGGACACAAUAUCUUUAUUUUAUUUUUAUGUGGUGCUGAGGAUAGAACCGAGGGCCUCACACAUGCUAGGCGAGCACUCUACCACUGAGCCACAAUCCCAGCCCCAUGAGUCAAAGUUUUUAUGUCUUUUUUUUUUUUUUUUUUUGGUACCAGAGAUUGAACUCAGGGGCACUUAACCACUGAGCCACAUCCCCCAACCUUUUUUAUUUUUAGAUGGUCUCCCUAAAUUGCUUAGAACCUCCUAAACUGAACUUUGAACUUGUGAUAAUAAUCCUCUUGCCUCAGCCUCCAGACCUACUUGGAUUACAGAUGAGUGCCCCUAGCCCUGUUCACAGAGGGAAUUGAACCACUGAACUAAAUCCUCUGCUUUUUUACUUUUUAUUUUGAGACAGGGUCUUGCUGAAUUGCUUAGGCCAUCGCUAAAUUGCUGAGACUGGUCUUGAACUUGAACCCGUGAUCAUCCUGCCUCAGCCUUCUGAGUUGCUGGAAUUACAGGCGUGUGCCACCGUGUUGGGCUUCUGCAUAUAUAUUUUAUAGGUAAAAAUUUCAUGCUGUCGGGCUGGGGUUGUGGUACAGUGGUA